AUGGAUGUGGGCUUCCAGGGGAGGUGCUCGCGCUGGUUCCGAGCCCUCCGGGGAAGAUAUUCGAGCGCGGAGCGUAAGCGCAGGGCACGCCAGCCCGGGGGCAGCGGAAGCAGGCGCCGCGCGUCUCUGCACCACAGGGCCGCUUCCCAGCCGUCUUCCCCCAGUUUGCCCUCCUGCCGCAGUCCGGGCCCAGAUUAAUUAUCUGCACUUGCGAGUGGGCACACACACAAGUUCUCUGGACACGAUCCUUUCAUCUGUUUCCCCGGCGGAGUCCACCUUUUUAAAGAUUAACCUCCCAGCUACCGCGGGCAAGGGGGCAGGAUGAGAGUGGGGCGGGGAGGGGCGUUUCACAUGUUCAGAGGCACCAAAAUUAGCUGCCAGUGCUAAAAAGCUUUGUUUUCUUCGGUUUUUUGACAAACAAAUGGGGUGGGAUGCUUGCUUGGCCGCCCGCUGCCCCGGCCCGAGCCCUGGGCUCACUUAGCAGCCUGAUGCCGACUUUCAGACGCAGUCCUGCUCUGCUUACACCCGGGCUUCUUCGCCCCCUUGCCGAAGUCUGCAGCCCGAUGGAUGCUGGGCGCGGGCUUUCCCUGGGCGCUUUAACGCGGCUUAGGCUAAAGCCCCAGAGCUCCCACCUUCUCACCUCCUGUUUAUCGGCCCGCCCCUCUACCACAGCCAAAGGACGUGCCCCUUCUGUAGUGUCGGGGUUCCCAGCCCCAGCGCGGGGGAGGGCGCCUCCCUAUCCCCUCCUCCCCGUCGCCGCCUCGGCUCGGGGUUUUACUGCAGCAGCCGGAGGUGACAGCGACGCCUCAGCCGCCUCUGUUGCUCUCGGAGCCCCUGCUUCCCCUGCACUGGGAAAGCGCCCCCUCCGGAGAGGCUUGUCUCUGGAGAAGUGCGAACGAGCUGCAGAAAAACAAAUUUUAAAAUGUAGAAGUCGUUGAGCUGCAUUCCUCCAAGGACCAGUCUGAUCGCCCAGGACUGAGAGUGGCAGCGUUUGAGAAGUUGGGACCAUAGAGCAAGGGGGGGAGGGGAGUGUUGCAGCAGGCAUUCCCUUCUGGAAGGAGUCGCUGGGAGCAGUGCGGUUGGACACAAGUUUGCGUAGGAGUGUUUUCCUUUUGUCAAUAAUUAAUCACCGGAAUUAGCCGGGUAGAAUUUGAGUUUUAGCAAUAGUCCUGAGGGCGGGGCCGAACACCUAACUCCGGGAGGCUCCCAGGCGCCCGGCGCAGUGGGCAGCUCGCAGCAGCUGGGGAGGAGCCAAAGCCUCGGCGCUCACCUAAGCCACAGGGAGAUACACCCAACUGGGA